AAAGGAUUACCAACUGAAGAUCACACAAUUGGCACAAAAGGUUCUAACGGACAGUUCCUUACAGUCAAGUGGAGAAGUGGUACUGCUGGAAACCAGAAAGCAAUUAUAACAUCACCACGUAUUUCUCAGACAAAUGUUUCAUGUAGCAUAGGAUUUUAUUAUUACAUGAACAGUGACCAAAUAUCAUUAACCGCACACUUGAAAACAGUGUCAACGCAACAGACAAAACAAAUAUGGGCCCACCAAGUAAAAGGAAAUGGUUGGACAUACAGUGGACCAAUUGAUAUCACUUCUCUCUCAAACCUAGGGUACUUUCAGGUUCUGAUUCAAGCUCAAAUAAAGCCUGGUUUUGCUUUUGGUAAAGUCGUAUCCAUCGACGAUGUAACAUUCACUGGCUGUGGUA